GAGGAAGUCCUGCGAUAAGGUCAGCAGACAAGGAGACAAUUGCACAUGACACUUGCCGGGGCACUAAUCCGAUUAAGAGUCAAGAAUAAUGCCUAAAUUUGUGCUUCGCCUAAUGUACCUAAGUGUCUGCAAAGGGACUGGAAAAACUACUCAGCCCACUCUAAAUACAAAACGGAAUUAUCCAACUGCCAGGGGCCAUCAACAACUAAACGAUCUUUUAUUACUUAAAAUUUCUGCUGCCAUGCCGUCGCUCCAAUCUCGUUUCAAGAGCCCCGCCAAAAAGCCACCAAAACUUAAUAAUAUUAAAAGAAUCUGCAAAUGACGCGCAAAUGUUUCAACACUCUCGGCAUCAGCUCCGAACCACCAUCUCCUGCUUCAUCGGACAGUGCCAUCUUUUGCCCAGGGCCAUUCCAUCCCAUCCUCUCCUGCGCUUCGCAUUGCGCAACAGCCAGCCCAAGAAGACCCGUCGAUCGUGGAUGAAGCUUUAGGUUCCUGGUUUCAGCUUCGAGGACCGAGGAUCGAGGAUCGACAGCCGGCUGGUCCGCCACUCGUUCUAACAAGAAGGUGAUAUAAGUGGUUCGAUUGCCGCAGCCAUGGCACACU